rnacentral:rRNA from 1 species
UACGUAGGGUGCGAGCGUUAAUCGGAAUUACUGGGCGUAAAGCGUGCGCAGGCGGUCUGUUAAGACCGAUGUGAAAUCCCCGGGCUCAACCUGGGAAUUGCAUUUGUGACUGCACGGCUAGAGUGUGUCAGAGGGGGGUAGAAUUCCACGUGUAGCAGUGAAAUGCGUAGAGAUGUGGAGGAAUACCGAUGGCGAAGGCAGCCCCCUGGGAUAACACUGACGCUCAUGCACGAAAGCGUGGGGAGCAAACAGG